UACGAAGGGGGCUAGCGCUGCUCGGAUUGACUGGGCGUAAAGGGCGCGUAGGCGGUUCGUACAGUCAGACGUGAAAUUCCUGGGCUCAACCUGGGGGCUGCGUUUGAUACGUGCGGACUUGAGUGCGGAAGAGGGUCGUGGAAUUCCCAGUGUAGAGGUGAAAUUCGUAGAUAUUGGGAAGAACACCGGUGGCGAAGGCGGCGACCUGGUCCGAUACUGACGCUGAGGCGCGAAAGCGUGGGGGAGCAAACAGG
rnacentral:rRNA from 1 species